AGGAGGAGGAACAAUUAGGCUGUAGCAGACUGUAAACAUUUUAUUGCAGGAACUAGCCUUCAGAGAUACAUUUCCUUUUCAAGCUACGGCGGCUUCUGUUAAAGAAGAUAUCGAGCGGGCAUUUGCUGUGUGCAGAGAAUGGAACAAAUGGGAAUGGCGUCCUGUAACAGAGCAGAUAAGCCUGGAGUGCGGAAAGGUUGCCGACGUCUGCUGGAGCCUUUCUCUCAGGCACCUCAGAAACCCUUCUCUCUCUGUACCAUUUUGGAAGUGUGGAACGGGUGGCCUUCCCAGCUCUUCAGGAAGAUGAUUCUUCUGCAGUGACCUUAGAUCGCUGGCUAAAGGCUCUGCUCCUUGUAGUAUCUAUUCCUCCUACCGAGUCUCUGUGGGGAAGCUUGCCACUGAAAGAACUCAGCUCAAUCCAACAUAGGAAAAAACAAGCAGAAGAAAAACUAAAAAUAAGGGAUCUGUUGGGAAAACAGUGUCAAAAUUCCGGAGUAGAAGGAAGAGAACUCAGGGCAGGAAGCGCCCAAGAAGCCAAGGACUGGAGUCAGAGGCUCACUGUUGCCAAGUUCUUUCUUUGUCUUUAUUCUUUACUUCCUGUUCCUCUGUCUUUGGAUUUCUUCC
rnacentral:lncRNA from 1 species